AUUGAACGCUGGCGGCAUGCCUUACACAUGCAAGUCGAACGGUAACAGGUCUUCGGAUGCUGACGAGUGGCGAACGGGUGAGUAAUACAUCGGAACGUGCCUAGUAGUGGGGGAUAACUACUCGAAAGAGUGGCUAAUACCGCAUGAGAUCUACGGAUGAAAGCAGGGGAUCGCAAGACCUUGUGCUACUAGAGCGGCCGAUGGCAGAUUAGGGAGUUGGUGGGAUAAAAGCUUACCAAGCCGACGAUCUGUAGCUGGUCUGAGAGGACGAUCAGCCACACUGGGACUGAGACACGGCCCAGACUCCUACGGGAGGCAGCAGUGGGGGAUUGUGGACAAUGGGCGCAAGCCUGAUCCAGCAAUGCCGCGUGCAGGAUGAAGGCCUUCGGGUUGUAAACUGCUUUUGUACGGAACGAAAAGCCCUGGGUUAAUACCCUGGGUUCAUGACGGUACCGUAAGAAUAAGCACCGGCUAACUACGUGCCAGCCGCCGCAGUAACAC
rnacentral:rRNA from 1 species